AGUAAUCUUGUUAGAUACAACUAGAAGAAAGAAAGUCUUAAUACUAUGAGGCUGAUGAUGCCUUUCCUUACACUACUUCAUUUCGUGGCAUAGAUAAUAAGGUAACUUUAUAUCUCGAUUAAUUAAUUUUUCCAGGGGGAGUAGGUAUUGCACACAUGAUUCAAAAGAUUGAAAAUAAAGAGUACAUGGGAUUUGGAGACCUUUGCAGGUGAACAUUUAUAGGAGUGCAUAUUUAUAGGAUGUGAUUUUCUGAUUUUUGGAAAUUUUGAUAUGCUGACAUCGAUGGUCUUCCUUCUUUCAGGCUUCCGUUCAUUAAAGCAUACAAGUUUGUGGCUAGAAACAUUUAAAUUUAAGGCUUUGUUUCUUCAUUAUAUACUGCUAGAAACAUUUACCUGUGUGUAUUUUUUGUAGAUAUAUGAAGGACUCCAAAGUCUAUUAGGAAAGCCACUUAUAGUGGGUGCGAACAAUCUAACAUGGACAUUAGUGAAGUUUAUCAACUGAGAGUUGUGAUGUUGGUAGUACUAAGAAUGACUUAUUGGCAGAGAAAUACAGCAAACUCAGUGUUGCACUUUUGGCUCACACAACUUGGAGUGGAGAGGCUAGUCUUGCUUGCUGUUUCUGGUGUGCUAGAAACAUGGACCAAUUCUUUUGGUUUUGCAAAGAUGACAAAUUUUGAGAGGUCACAGUUCUUGGACUCACCUAGUCUGGUUUUAUCUUAGUGGUUACACUCACCUUAGUUACACCAAAUAUACAAUAGUAAUACAAUAUAAUUAUAGGAGGUGCUGAUGUAAUUUAAGCCGCUAUUUGUAGCUCUUAUGCCUGAGAUAUCUCUUAGAUUCAGUACCUGCUAUUUGAUCCUUAGCCUACUAUGCUAUUCUUAUUUUUGACUUUUUUGUACUUUCCUUGAGUAGAGAUGAUAAGGGGGCUCAUUCAGGUAUCUUGGGAGCGUGUGGCAAUUGGUAUUUUUUUUAUUGUUUGCACCAUUGCCCAAAACUUGAAGCUACACUGGCUAGGCAGAUACAGGCACAAUUUCAAACCUCUGGCAAGCAAGCUCUUCAGUUCCAGUCAUAGUAACAACCUACACAUUUCAUUUUAAUGUACAUCCAAUUGGGUUUGAGCUUGUCAAGCCAUCAAAAAUGGCAACAACAAUUCGAAUGGUGUCAUCCAAUUGGGUUUGUGAGCCUCACUCUAGUGCUGCUUGUCUUAAGCUACAUUGCUGCUAUUUUUCAAGUAUCUGCUGGCCUUGAGGGAAGUAUCCUAUGCCAUGAUCGAUAUGCCCACUGUAUUGCAAUUCUCUUCAACUCGCCUGCGCUUCCGUGACUGCAACCACAUUGUGGAGAUCAUGCUUGUGGAGAUCGUCUUUGCCACUUAUCCAUUGAGGUACGUCCUUUCGUUUUAACAUUAGGCGUUCAUCGUUUUAACAUUUGCUCACUUUUGCAGGUCGAAGAAAAGUAGGAAAGGAAAGAGUCCCGGAAAGGGUACUCUCAGGGCGUUAUUGUUGUUUCUCCUUCUGCCCGAGUUCGUGUUUGUCGCAAACUGAGCUGCGCUUCCGUGAAUGCAACCACAUUGUCGAGUUCGCGUUUGUGGAGUUCGUGUCUGCGCUUCCAUCGAAGGUACAUGAUUCCUAUUUGUUGUGAGAGUGAAAUGAUGGGCAGCAGCACCAACUGAGGUACAUGAUUCCUAUUUGUUGUGAGAGUGAAAUGAUGGGCAGCAGCACCAACUGAGGGCUAUCAUUUACUACUGCUAAUUGGCAUUGCUGUGGAAGCGCUUUGAUUAUAUCUUUGAAGCCUCAAAGUCAGAUCAUAGGUUCUCCACCUGCCUCCACUACUCCUCCUCCUCCUCCUCCUCCUCCUUCUUCUCCUUCUCCUCCUCGACCUCCUCCUAUUUCGAACGCAUUGGCUUCGACGUCUGCCAUGAAGCGGACACGCAAAGCCUCACUUCUACGAUCAGUGGUGCAUGUUGAUCAUGCUACCGGGAAGACCGACGGUCCCCACAGGAAAAAAUUAAGAACAUAUUUGGGGAU